rnacentral:rRNA from 1 species
UCCUGGCUCAGGAUGAACGCUGCGGCGUGCCUAACACAUGCAAGUCGAACGAGAUGCGUAUUGGAAAGACUUCGGCCGGAAGAUGCGUUAUCUAGUGGCGACGGGUGAGUAACACUGGGUAACCUGCCUUAUGAGGGGGAGUAACAGAGAGAAAUCACUGCUAAUACCGCAUAAGCACACAGUACCGCAUGGUACAGGGUGAAAAGAUUUAUCGCCAUAAGAUGGACCCGCGUCUGAUUAGCCAGUUGGCAGGGUAAAAGCCUACCAAAGCAACGAUCAGUAGCCGAUCUGAGAGGAUGACCGGCCACAUUGGGACUGAGACACGGCCCAAACUCCUACGGGAGGCAGCAGUGGGGAAUAUUGCACAAUGGGGGAAACCCUGAUGCAGCGACGCCGCGUGAGUGAAGAAGUAUUUCGGUAUGUAAAGCUCUAUCAGCAGGGAAGAUAAUGACAGUACCUGACUAAGAAGCCCCGGCUAACUACGUG